rnacentral:rRNA from 1 species
AGUGAACGCUGGCGGUAGGCCUAACACAUGCAAGUCGAACGGCAGCACAGUAAGAGCUUGCUCUUACGGGUGGCGAGUGGCGGACGGGUGAGGAAUACAUCGGAAUCUACUUUUUCGUGGGGGAUAACGUAGGGAAACUUACGCUCAUACCGCAUACGACCUACGGGUGAAAGCAGGGGAUCUUCGGACCUUGCGCGAUUGAAUGAGCCGAUGUCGGAUUAGCUAGUUGGCGGGGUAAAGGCCCACCAAGGCGACGAUCCGUAGCUGGUCUGAGAGGAUGAUCAGCCACACUGGAACUGAGACACGGUCCAGACUCCUAAGGGAGGCAGCAGUGGGGAAUAUUGGACAAUGGGCGCAAGCCUGAUCCAGCCAUACCGCGUGGGUGAAGAAGGCCUUCGGGUUGUAAAGCCCUUUUGUUGGGAAAGAAAAGCAGCAGGUUAAUACCCAGCUGUUCUGACGGUACACAAAGAAUAAGCACCGGCUAACUUCGUG